rnacentral:lncRNA from 1 species
AUGUGUAGAGAGCUCAGAUAAAGGCUAUUUUUCAGUAAACCCACUCAACCCUAAUCAGGGCUCACUCAGUUUUCCAAUGGACCAAGUAUUUCUUCCUUUUUUAUACAAAUACAGAAGACCAACUUCUUUCUCCCCAUCACUGUUCUUUUUACCCUCUUUCUUCUCACUCCCUAAUGGCUAUUUGCUCUGUAUUAGAGGACAUUUAGUAAACCAUAGAAUUACUGAAGGAAUAUCUGAGAGGCAGUUGCUGUCAGGACAAAACUUGUGACAUCACAGAUGAGGCUAGGGCUCUCCAGGUUACAAGAGAUUUUUCAGGCAUGGGCUAAUGAUGAUGUAACUGAGAGCUGCCAUGGCCUAACUUCUGAGCACCUUUCCUUACAUUGACCAGAUUCGAGAGUGCCUUUUCCAGGAGUGUCUCCUGUGAUACAGUGGAAAAAUUUAUGUACCCCAUUUCUCUAAAUCUAGAGACUUCUCUCUGCUUCACUUGUGGUUACAUGUUCUGAAUGGAGAAAUUUAGACAGGGGCUUGGCAUGGGUAGUAAAGAUUUUGGAAUAUGGAGUGUAGUAGAUUCCUCAAGAGAAUAUUUUUAUUCUCUAUGUCACAGGUUUUUUCCUGUGACAUACAGUUCAAUUUUCUAGGUUUUCUCUGUUUCCCAAACUCUAGUAUUUUCCCUACAGACCUUUAAUUUAAUGAAUAUUGUAUUUCUAGUUCUUAUUGUAAAUUCCUUGAAAAGCGACUGUAGGCAGCUGUGAUGUGCCCAGGCUCAAAGUUGGCAGUUGUUUCUGCAUUCCACCCUCCCAAUGGUUGGACACAGCAAGUGGUGGCCCGUACGGGACCUCCUGAUAUCAGAACUUCAUGCAGUCAGGGCAGCGCUGGAAAGUUCCCAAGGACCGGCAAGAUCCGUUGUGGGUCGCUGAAAGAUUGACCAGGAGGUACAACAAGAAUGAAGAUCCUGCUGCUGCUGACACUUCUUGGUGUGACCCAAAUGGUGGUCCAAAUGGAACCCCUGUGGGGGAUACUAUUGGUGUUCCGGAG